rnacentral:tRNA from 1 species
AGGAUAGUAGUUAAAUAUAACAUUUGGGUUGCAUUCAAAAAGUAUUGAUAAUAAUCAAUCUAUCUU